rnacentral:hammerhead_ribozyme from 1 species
AUGCGAAACGUGCCCUCCCACUCGGAGGUCACGUCGUCGUGGGGUGGCGCCCACGGCCUGACGAGCAGCCAUGA